rnacentral:rRNA from 1 species
CCUUCAAGAUGGGGACAACACUUCGAAAGGGGUGCUAAUACCGAAUGAAUGUAAGAGUAUCGCAUGAGACACUUACUAAAGGAGGCCUCUGACAUAAGCUUCCGCUUGAAGAUGAGCUUGCGUCUGAUUAGCUAGUUGGUGAGGGUAAAGGCCCACCAAGGCGACGAUCAGUAGCCGGUCUGAGAGGAUGAACGGCCACAUUGGGACUGAGACACGGCCCAGACUCCUACGGGAGGCAGCAGUGGGGAAUCUUCCGCAAUGGGCGAAAGCCUGACGGAGCAACGCCGCGUGAACGAUGAAGGUCUUAGGAUCGUAAAGUUCUGUUGUUAGGGACGAAGGGUAAGAAUCAUAAUAAGGUUUUUAUUUGACGGUACCUAACGAGGAAGCCACGGCUAACUACGUGCCAGCAGCCGCGGUAAUACGUAGGCGGCAAGCGUUGUCCGGAAUUAUUGGGCGUAAAGGGAGCGCAGGCGGGAAACUAAGCGGAUCUUAAAAGUGCGGGGCUCAACCCCGUGAUGGGGUCCGAACUGGUUUUCUUGAGUGCAGGAGAGGAAAGCGGAACUCCCAGUGUAGCGGUGAAAUGCGUAGAUAUUGGGAAGAACACCAGUGGCGGAGGCGGCUUUCUGGACUGUAACUGACGCUGAGGCUCGAAAGCUAGGGUAGCGAACGGGAUUAGAUACCCCGGUAGUCCUAGCCGUAAACGAUGGAUACUAGGUGUGGGAGGUAUCGACCCCUUCCGUGCCGGAGUUAACGCAAUAAGUAUCCCGCCUGGGGAGUACGGCCGCAAGGUUGCAACUCAAAGGAAUUGA